AUUUUUAUUUCUUUGGAUGAAGAAAAAGCUUAUAAUACAUCUAAAAACUUAUAACUAUGUUGUAGGUAUGUAGAGUGGUGAAUGACCCAAAACCAGCUGACGUCGCGAUAUCGCUAAAUCGAUAAAACUUGCAUUCUAUAGCAGUUCGUAACCAGCAUUUUUAAUGUAAGGUAAUAAUAUGAGAUUGAUAAGUGUAGUUUAAUUGAACGACAUUGGUAAGCUGUCUUGCCGCUGCAGUGUCUGUAAUUCUACACCGCAGUAUUUGGAAACAAAAUCUCUUUGGAAAGUGUUACGGUUGUGAAAUGGAAAAAAGGAAGGGAAAAAAGUAUCUCACAGCUGAGUAAUAUAUUUUUAGACCAUCCGAUGUAUCGCGCGGUCUAAAAAUAUGCAAAUAUAAUUAAAACCCGGGAAUCGAGCUCGAAGAAGGUGAAACCGGUUUCGAUUUGAAAUUACCCGGAGCAACAGUGUCGAUAGCAAUGACGAAAUAGAUAAAUUUCCUAUAAAAAUAGAAUUUAGAAAUAGAAAUUCAUUUGCUCUGAAAGGUUAUCUUGUACAUUACAAAUAUCGUGAUACAAUAAUACUCUGCUCUCGGAUGAGUUAACUAGUUUCAUGUGAUUUCCCACGUUAAUCUGUUGCGUUACUGUUCAGAUGAAAAUGUAUCAACGGUCAUGCGCAACAAAUAAUCGACAAUUCGUGAUAAUGAGAUUAGCGUUUAACAAUGUUACGUGGCAUGUACAUACGUGGAUUAAUAUUGAUGGCCAGCUAGAUGAGAUUAUUUCCAUCAUCCCACGCUUCAAUAUUUAAACGAGGAAAAAGAAUCGCAUGGCGCAUGCGCGGUAACGGAAAAUCUAACUUUUGUAAUCCGAAUUAAAAUAACGUAUUAUUAAUUAUAAUUAAAAUAUUAAUAAUAAUAAUAGUAAUGACAAAAUAUUAUUUUUCACUAUUUUUUCACAAAACUGCAACGAGUGCAAAAAAUAUUUACAAAGGAACGAAAUCCGGUCAAUAUUUCCAUCGUCUACUUCCUGUUAUUGGGAUUGUCGAAUCACAAAAAUAUACGAAACGUGUACUCUCGAAAAAAUCAAGAAAGAAAUAAGUGACAGUGUUAUUGAUUGAUUGUUUGAUAGUAUUAGUUUAUCAAUCAACAGACAUAAAUUCAUAACAAGAAGUUAGGUUGCAAGCCGGUGGACUGUGACGUCGGCAGACAUUGACUUUUUUGCGACUACGUAAAGGUGUGCGGAAAUAUGAUUCGAUAACUUUCUCCUGAAGCAUGCCUCGAGGUACUUUUUUUUUGAUUCACCACUGAUCUAUGGACUUUAUACAUAAUUGGAAUUGCAACUGACAAUGAGUUAUCGACCACAACAGUAGUGAUGCUACAUUCUUAAGGACUAUGUUGAAAGAACAGUGCACUGAAUAAAUUUUCAUUGUAAAAUACAAAAGUAAGAUAUUGCAUUGUUACACCGGAAGUACCUGAAGAUCGCCACAAGGCCGGCCCUGGGUCGCCAUAACAACAUUUCGAAAAACUGGUGAUUAGGAAGCUAUUAAUUCUACAACCCUGAAUUACCGACAGAGCAGCAUCUUUCCAGUCAGAUGCGCCUCCUCUCCACCCUACUUGUUUACUUUUUUUUAUAUAAGAUGGAAGUAUAAAUCAUUACUGGAUAAACAAGCUAAGUAGAUUUGAAGUAGCUUUAAAACCCUGCUAAGAAACAAUUGAAAAAAAAACACAUACAAAAAUUUAUAAAAAAUGAAAUUUAUAAUAAGAAAAAUAACUUCCGAAACAUGUAGUUACGUGUAUGCGAGGGACAGUACAUGAUUCUCAUAAUCGGUCAUUGACAUUCUAUUUAUCUACCUCUUUAACCAUAUUUUUUUGCAAAAUACUAAUCAAAUUAUUCAUAAAGGGUUAUUAUAAUAAUACACGUGUCUGUAUACGUUUGUACAGAAGUAACAACACUCUAGUGAAAUUUUUCCACACAAAUGCCGGUGCAAGAUCGAUAAAUUAAACAAAAACAAACAUACGAGGAACCCCGAAAUUUUUUCAAGGUGAUACACAAAGAAAAUAAAAAAGGCAAGUCGGUUUCCAGUGAUAUAUUGCAUGGUCAGAAUGGUCGAAUGGGAAAUCACCGGGUAUAAAUAGAGGAUGACUCGCAGUCUGGACUCGCUUGGACAUCGUUAGUCGAUGAUCAUACUUCACCACGCCAAGUAGGUAUCGAUACAUUGCGGAUCGAUGAUCCUCUAAUUACGCGUUGGUAUGGACAUUUAACAUCAGAUAUCGGGAAUUCAUCCUUGGAGCAUUGUUCUGCCGUUCCAAAUAUAGCCAAGGAUAGACGUGUCGCGUUACACUUAAACGUGUAAUACCUACGUACUUUCUGAUAAGAGCGUUUUAUACCUCCAUAAAGUAUGGCGCUACGUACAUACAUUAAACACGCGUAACGCAUUUGGUUGCUAUCUACACCUGUCGAACAAUCCGUUCGUUUUGUAAUCAUACGUUCGAACAUGAUGGUUUACUAUUCGUGCGUGAAAUUGCAAUUAAGUUCUACGUAAUACCAAUCCAUAAUGAAAGAGGAAAUAAUAGUUAAUUCAAUGAGGCUUGUCUCAUCGCAUAACCGUGGUGUUUUAAUAUGAGCACUGUUGUAGUUUUCCAUCGAAAGAGGAAAAUGAAGGAAUUAAUUGUUUCCAUAGUUUGAAAUAUUUCAAACUUGUAUUAGCGAAACCAAGGACCGAUUCUGUGAAAAAGAAAAAAAAAAAGAA